UACGUAGGGGGCGAGCGUUGUCCGGAAUCAUUGGGCGUAAAGAGCGUGUAGGCGGCCCGAUUAGUCCGCUGUGAAAGUCCAGGGCUCAACCCUGGAAUGCCGGUGGAUACUGUCGGGCUAGAGUCCGGAAGGGGCGAGUGGAAUUCCUGGUGUAGCGGUGAAAUGCGCAGAUAUCAGGAGGAACACCAAUGGCGAAGGCAGCUCGCUGGGACGUGACUGACGCUGAGACGCGAAAGCGUGGGGAGCAAACAGG
rnacentral:rRNA from 1 species